GAUGAACGCUGGCGGCGUGCCUAAUACAUGCAAGUCGAGCGAACAGAUAAGGAGCUUGCUCCUUUGACGUUAGCGGCGGACGGGUGAGUAACACGUGGGUAACCUACCUAUAAGACUGGAAUAACUCCGGGAAACCGGGGCUAAUGCCGGAUAACAUUUAGAACCGCAUGGUUCUAAAGUGAUAGAUGGUUUUGCUAUCACUUAUAGAUGGACCCGCGCCGUAUUAGCUAGUUGGUAAGGUAACGGCUUACCAAGGCAACGAUACGUAGCCGACCUGAGAGGGUGAUCGGCCACACUGGAACUGAGACACGGUCCAGACUCCUACGGGAGGCAGCAGUAGGGAAUCUUCCGCAAUGGGCGAAAGCCUGACGGAGCAACGCCGCGUGAGUGAUGAAGGUCUUCGGAUCGUAAAACUCUGUUAUUAGGGAAGAACAAAUGUGUAAGUAACUGUGCACGUCUUGACGGUACCUAAUCAGAAAGCCACGGCUAACUACGUG
rnacentral:rRNA from 1 species